GCAGGUGGCCUGAGGGGGCUGGCAGCGCCCCUGCUCUGAGGUCUCGCGAGCGGCAGGAGAAACGGCUGCCGCGCGGAAGCUCCUUUAUCUUGACCGUAGCUGCUUCUCCUGGCGGCCCCCAGCCUGAGCAGGCCCGGGGGAGUGAGGAGGGUCUCUCUGCUGCGCAGCCUGCGAGCAUCACUUCCAGGCAGGAGAAAGAGGAGCUAAGGCCUGAGGGCCAGCUCUAGAUUCAACCACCUCCAGGCAGAUGUAACAAGCUGCGCCUCAGACGGCAGAAGAGUUCAGUAUGCACUGUGGGGAGAGACUGCAAGGUCAAAUUUUCCUUAAAACAUAAAGCACCCUUCUGUGCUACCAGUUGAGGAUUAUGACGGAUGUGUAAAUGUGUGCUGAUUGUACUAUAUGCUGCCCAGAGAACAUUUGUAGACAUGGUACAGAAGUUACGCCUGUUUGGAGCAAGUUACAUCUAUAUCAAACCUUCUACCAAUAUCUAUAGCUAUAUUGCUCCUCUUUGCAUCAGAAGUCUAUAGUCAGCCUGAAGAAGUUACCCCAGCUGAACAAAGGCUUGAUAAAAGAAUGUUUCAGAAUCAAAAUAAUUAUUUUAAGAAAGCAGGUAUCAGAUGCAAAACAGUAAAGGUAACAUUUUAAGGAAAGGAUGGAGGGAUGCAUCUUAAGGGAGGAAAAAAAAAAGUUAAGUAUUUCAACCUAACAGGAGAAAUACAUCACAAGGGAGGAUAUCAAGCAUAUUUAGAGAGUGUACAAUCUCCCAUUAGGAUUUUGUCCUCUUUAUUCUACUCUCUCUAGAGAAACUUGCUGCCAUUUCUCCUCUUCCAGUGAUUGCAUUAUCUGGAACACUUGGCUAUUUAUUGCUCUCAGGCACCUCCUAUGACACUCAAUCAGAAGUACACAUGCAGUGUGCUGUUCUGAGAGUUCCUUUACUUCAUAAAUAGCAGAAAGGUCCAU